rnacentral:rRNA from 1 species
AGUUAGUGGCGCACGGGUGCGUAACGCGUGGGAAUCUGCCCUUUGCUUCGGAAUAACAGUUAGAAAUGACUGCUAAUACCGGAUGAUGUCUUCGGACCAAAGAUUUAUCGGCAAGGGAUGAGCCCGCGUAGGAUUAGCUUGUUGGUGAGGUAAUGGCUCACCAAGGCGACGAUCCUUAGCUGGUCUGAGAGGAUGAUCAGCCACACUGGGACUGAGACACGGCCCAGACUCCUACGGGAGGCAGCAGUGGGGAAUAUUGGACAAUGGGCGAAAGCCUGAUCCAGCAAUGCCGCGUGAGUGAUGAAGGCCUUAGGGUUGUAAAGCUCUUUUACCAGGGAUGAUAAUGACAGUACCUGGAGAAUAAGCUCCGGCUAACUUCGUGCCAGCAGCCGCGGUAAUACGAAGGGGGCUAGCGUUGUUCGGAUUUACUGGGCGUAAAGCGCACGUAGGCGGAUCUUUAAGUCAGGGGUGAAAUCCCAAGGCUCAACCUUGGAACUGCCUUUGAAA